AGGACGCUUCCUUCGGGAAGCGAGCGUACACAGGUGCUGCAUGGCUGUCGUCAGCUCGUGUCGUGAGAUGUUGGGUUAAGUCCCAUAACGAGCGCAACCCCUAUCAUUAGUUGCCAUCAGGUCAAGCUGGGGACUCUAAUGAAACUGCCUACGCAAGUAGUGAGGAAGGUGGGGAUGACGUCAAAUCAGCACGGCCCUUACGUCCAGGGCUACACACGUGCUACAAUGGCCGGUACAAAGGGCAGCUACCUGGUGACAGGAUGCUAAUCUCAAAAGCCGGUCUCAGUUCGGAUCGGAGUCUGCAACCCGACUCCGUGAAGCCGGAAUCGCUAGUAAUCGUGGAUCAGCCAAGCCGCGGUGAAUACGUUCCCGGGCCUU
rnacentral:rRNA from 1 species